rnacentral:rRNA from 1 species
UACGAAGGGGGCUAGCGUUGCUCGGAAUCACUGGGCGUAAAGGGUGCGUAGGCGGGUCUUUUAAGUCAGGGGUGAAAUCCUGGAGCUCAACUCCAGAACUGCCUUUGAUACUGAGGAUCUUGAGUUCGGGAGAGGUGAGUGGAACUGCGAGUGUAGAGGUGAAAUUCGUAGAUAUUCGCAAGAACACCAGUGGCGAAGGCGGCUCACUGGCCCGAUACUGACGCUGAGGCACGAAAGCGUG